UUGCAGCCCGGCUUGAGCGGAAAUCCUUUUUUUGCACUGGCACUGGCGAGGGAAAAAAGAUUGGGAGCGGAAGACGGAUUAAGC
rnacentral:sRNA from 1 species